rnacentral:lncRNA from 10 species
CUAGAGAUGAACUCUGGGAGAGUUUGAAGAGACUGACUUCCUCAAGGACACAUAGCAGUGUUUGUGGAAGACCCGGGACCAGGAGCAAACCUCCUGGCUCCCAGAGCCUGGCUUCAUCCAUUGCCCUGAACCAACUCAAACCACAGACCCUACAGUAGCAUGGAAAGUGCCUAAUACCUGGAAGGUGCUCUAACCCAGGGGCUCCUGACCGCCCAGAGCCAUGGACCAGUACCCAUCCUGUUAGGAACUGGGCCGCAAGAGAUGAGCAGCAGGCAAGUGAGUAUUACCACCUAGCUCCGUCUGUCAGAUUAGCGGUGGCAAUAGAUUCUCAUAGGAGUACAAACCAUACUAUGAACUGCACAUAUGAAGGACCUAGGUUGCAUGCUCCUUAUGAGGAGACUAAUGCCCGAUGAUCUGAAGUGGAACAGUUUCAUCCCAAAACCAUCCCCCAACCCAUUCAUGGAAAAAUAGUCUUCCAUAAAACUGGUAUCUGGUGCCAGAAAGGCUGGGGACUGCUGCUCUAGCCCACCCCUUUUAAAGAUGAGGGCUCUAAAGCAAGCAUUUUGAGACAUUUUUCAAGUCAGAUGGAUGGGACUUUACCUUUGUCUCCAUCCUGUUCGUUGGAGAUUUUCUUCAGGUCAAUGAAAUGGGUUGCCAGGGCUACGUCAUUCAUGCUGCCUUCAUCCCACACCUGGAUUUUCACCCUCCGACACAAGGGAGGGAACAUUUCCUUGAAGAUCACCUGUUCAUGCCACACAGGAUCAGCACAGUUCUUCUGCACUGUGGUUCGCCCCUAAAAACACAGCCAGGAGGACAUGAGUCAUGGAAGGGACUGACUGACUACAGAAAACUCUUCAAGCCAGCUGGAAGUAUAAAGUGAGUUUUCAAAGAUAAUGAACCUGCUUCUGACACCCACGAAAAUCAGUUACACUCAGCGAACGUGACUGAUGACCUGCUCUAUGCUGGACACCGUGCCAGUCUCUCCAACAGAAGGCAGCAGAAAUGACUUUUGCCAGUUCAAAGCCUACACCUCAAGAGAACUUCUGUACUUCCACUCUCUUAGAACCCUGCCAUUGCUACCAUUGGCACAAGCUCAGACUAGCCUGACGGAGGAUCUGGUAUCAUGCAGAGAACAGCCGGUCUCAGCUGAAGCAGUACUAGGCCAGGCUACCACCAGCCAACUCCUAAACUAACCAGCAGAGCUGCCAAAUGACUACAGAAACAUGAAUGAUGCAUCUGCAACUAUCUGGGAUCAGCAAAACUAUCCAACUAAUUCAUUAGCAAUAAUAAAUGCUUAUUAUAUUAAGCCACAGAUCUGGGGGCUAUUUGUUACACAUCAUUGCUAACUGAUCUAGCAAAAUGCAUGCAGAAGGCCAGCUUGUUUUGACUUUUUGUUGGGUAGCAUAAGAACCACCUUCUGAUUUGAGACAGACAAGAAGCUAAGAUAAUGAGCACCUUGAUGAAUCAAAGAGCAGGUAAGAGACAGCUCCUGCUGUCAUUCCUGAACUGUGAGCGACAUGAGCACCUUCACUCAGGAGAUUUAAGACCAGAAGCUUGUAGAACCAUGAUCCUGGCCUGAUGAAGGCUGAACGGUAUCAAGAGGCCAGCACUGCCAUAGAGAAAACUGAGCUGACACAGUCUUCCUGCCUUAGACCUUGCCUGCCUGUAGACAGUGACUAUGUCUUACUCUCCUCUCUUCUCCCAGCACCUGUAGAGGUGCUUGGCACAUAAGAGAUGCUCAGCAAAUGUGUGUUGACCACCUGCAUCCAUACUGUACCUUCUCUUUGGAGAAGCUGAGGGGACAGGAAAGAUAGAAGCAUCAUCAUGGACCAAAUCUCCUCUCGGUCCUUCCUGGUGAGAAGGCUCCUCCUGCAGUGCUUCAGUGUCACCUUGACUAUCUGGAGAAGCAAACAAAGGAAGAAAAUCCUGUGAAAUUGACAUGUGGUGGCAAUCGAGCCUCUACCUUAUGCCAGCCCUGUGGCAGGCACCAUAAGUGGUACAAAGAGACUAGAAGACAGACUCUGCCAGCAUAAAACUUAACAUCUUAUUGGCAGAAAUGCCAGAUACAUCCUUCAUUUUUCUAAAACUUAUGUAUCUUCUGUUUCCAAAAAAGAACAGAUUUAUGUGGAUGGGACUGUGAAAAGAAAAAUCGGAUUGUGAAUCUAAAGUGUAAACUAAAAAUAAAAUCCUAAGCAACCCCCUCCCCCACCCAAGGGGACCCCAGAAAAAUCUUAAAAACUGAGUUUCUGGCUGGGCACGGUGGCUCACACCUGUAAUCCGAGCACUUUGGGAAGCUGAGGCAAGUGGAUCACCUGAGGACAGGAGUUUGAGACCAGCCUGGCCAACAUGGUGAAACCCCCUCUCUACUAAAAAUACAAAAAUUAGCCGGGCAUGGUGGCAGACACCUGUAAUUCCAGCUACUUGGGAGGCUAAGGCAGGAGCAACGCUUGAACCCAGCGGGACAGAUGUUGCAGCUAAGCUGAGAUCGCGCCACUUCACUCUAGCCUGGGCAAAAGAGUGAAACUCCAUCUCAAAAAUCAAAAAAUAAAAAACAGAAAUAAAACCCUAGGUUUUUGUCAAUGAUGAGACAGGAGGUCAGGCAUACCUCAUUAUACUUCCUUUUUGUGGUUUAGACACAACAACUGACCAGCAUUAAAAUAGAGAUCAUAAGACUGACAGAAUGGACCCUGUGGCAAUAAGAUACCAAAUUACAAACAGGACCUAAAGUCAUGACAGGCAAAGCUUAAGUCAUGCACUCCUAUACUUAAAAAUAAAACUGUGUUCUAACUGCCACAGGUUUUUCUUUUUCUCUAGCAGCUGCACAAGCACCAGCCUCAAGAUAAGCAAUAAACGAUUUACUGCUUGCCCACCACUGACAGACACUGAAUAACUGACUCCCAGCCCCUGUUCUACAAGCUAUAACUACAGCUUUAAUUAGACAAGAGACUGACUUCAGUGACUUUCUCCUGAUAAAAAGACCACAGACAGGCUGGGCACAGUGGUUCAUGCCUGUAAUCCCAGCACUUUGGAAGGCUGAGGCAGGCAGAUCAUGAGGUCAAGAUAUCGAGACCAUCCUGGCUAACGUGGUGAAACCCCAUCUCUACUAAAAAUACAAAAAGUUAGCUGGGCGUGGUGGUGGGCACCUGUAGUCCCAGCUGCUCGGGAGGCUGAGGCAGAAGAAUCGCUUGAACCCAGUAGGUGGAGAUUGCAGUGAGCCGACAUUGUGCCACUGCCCUCCAGCCUAGGGAGACAGAGCGAGACUCCAAGACUCCAUCUCAAAAAAAAAAAAAAAAAAGAAAACAAACAAACAAAAAACACAGACCAUAGACUCGUUCUGGCUGUUUAAAGAGUCUGCACACUUGAGUGCUUUUGUUUCUUAAAAAGAUCUUUUUACAUAUAGGGCCUAAUUCUAAUACAUUUAAAAAUCAAGUCUCCACCCCAAGGUAAAUUUGGGUCAUAUAUAACAUGCACGUGUGUUCAGUACACAUGCAUCAAGACCACCUUCUUGAAUAUUCAUAGCUCCUCCUGUAACCUGUAAUUACAUAUAUCUGGCUAACCAUUUCAGUUUGAAUUCCUGUCUUACUCUUCCCUUUCUGGAAGUGUCUGUCUCUGCGCUCUGUGGGAGGCUAUGCUUCCCAGACCAUCAAAAUGGGCACCUGGCAGGCUGUAACCCUUCAUAAAAAAUAAAGUCUAC